rnacentral:tRNA from 1 species
UGGCUCAGUGGUUAAGAGCACUGAACGUUCUUCCAGAGGUCCUGAGUUCAAUUCUCAG